rnacentral:rRNA from 1 species
UUCAGCAACGGAUCUCUUGGCUCUCCCAUCGAUGAAGAACGCAGCGAAAUGCGAUAAGUAAUGUGAAUUGCAGAAUUCAGUGAAUCAUCGAAUCUUUGAACGCACCUUGCGCCCUUUGGUAUUCCGAAGGGCAUGCCUGUUUGAGUGUCAUUMAAUUC